GCGGACUACUCGAGCUGUGAAGGGAUUUGGUUGUAGCUGGUUCAUUAAUUUGGGCAUGUGCACACCUUCUCUCUUUCAUCCACACACACCUGUGCACCUGUGAGGCAGAUGGGGAAUUUAUUGAUUGUUCUCUAAGAACAAUUGGUGUUGGACCCUCUGUCUACUCAAUACAUAUAAACUCAAUUUAUUUAGAAAUGAAUGUAAUGGAUGUAACGCAUCUAAUACUAAGUUUCAACAACGGAUCUCUUGGCUCUCGCAUCGAUGAAGAACGCAGCGAAAUGCGAUAAGUAAUGUGAAUUGCAGAAUUCAGUGAAUCAUCGAAUCUUUGAACGCACCUUGCGCUCCUUGGUAUUCCUUGGAGCAUGCCUGUUUGAGUAUCAUGAAAUCUUCAAAGUAAAAUCUUUUGUUAAUUCAAUUGGUUUUGCCUUGGUCUUGGAGGUCUUUGCAGCUUCACACCUGCUCCUCUUUGUGUAUUAGCUGGAUCUCAGUGUUAUGCUUGGUUCCACUCGGCGUGAUAAGUUAUCUAUCGCUGAGGACACUGUAAUAGGUGGCCAAGGGAAAUGCAGAUGAACCGCUCCUAAUAGUCCAUUCACUUGGACACUAUUUCUUAUGAUCUGAUCUCAAAUCAGGUAGGACUACCCGCUGAACUUAAGCAUAUCAUAAAGCGGAGGGAUUGGCUACACUCUUGUGAAGGUGCCUGUUCCUCUCCUCCCAAACAAUCUGCGCAGGGAAAAACAGGUGAAUCAUAUAUGAUUUUUCUCUGAAUAUAUGAGGUGCACUGCUGCUCAGCAAACAAUGGAGCAUGGGCUGUCAAACGAUGGAUAGCGAGUUACUACUAGAUGCUACGUCCCAUACGCCAGUACA
rnacentral:rRNA from 1 species